rnacentral:rRNA from 1 species
CCUACGGGUGGCAGCAGUGAGGAAUAUUGGUCAAUGGUCGGGAGACUGAACCAGCCAAGCCGCGUGAGGGAUGAAGGUACAGAGUAUCGUAAACCUCUUUUGUCAGGGAACAAAGGCGGGGAUGCGUCCCCGGAUGAGUGUACCUGAAGAAAAAGCAUCGGCUAACUCCGUGCCAGCAGCCGCGGUAAUACGGAGGAGGCGAUCGUUAUCCGGAUUUAUUGGGUUUAAAGGGUGCGCAGGCGGUCUGUUAAGUCAGCGGUAAAAGCCCGGGGCUCAACCCCGGCCCGCCGUUGAAACUGGCAGUCUCGAGUUGGAGAGAAGUAUGCGGAAUGCGCGGUGUAGCGGUGAAAUGCAUAGAUAUCGCGCAGAACUCCGAUUGCGAAGGCAGCAUGCCGGCUCCACACUGACGCUGAGGCACGAAAGCGUGGGUAUCGAACAGGAUUAGAUACCCUUGUAGUC